AGGACGAACGCUGGCGGCGUGCCUAACACAUGCAAGUCGAACGGACUGAUUCCUUCGGGAAUGAAAGUUAGUGGCGGACGGGUGAGUAACGCGUGAGCAACCUGCCUUUCAGAGGGGAAUAACGUUUGGAAACAGACGCUAAUACCGCAUAACGCAUAGGAGUCGCAUGGCUUUUAUGCCAAAGGAGCAAUCCGCUGAAAGAUGGGCUCGCGUCCGAUUAGAUAGUUGGUGGGGUAACGGCCUACCAAGUCGACGAUCGGUAGCCGGACUGAGAGGUUGAACGGCCACAUUGGGACUGAGACACGGCCCAGACUCCUACGGGAGGCAGCAGUGGGGGAUAUUGCACAAUGGGCGCAAGCCUGAUUGCAGCAACGCCGCGUGAGGGAUGACGGUUUUCGGAUUGUAAACCUCUGUCUUUGGUGACGAAGAAAUGACGGUAGCCGAGGAGGAAGCCACGGCUAACUACGUGCCAGCAGCGGC
rnacentral:rRNA from 1 species